CCUGCCUGUGUCUGCCAAGGUUUGGAGCCUAAAAGUGGUUUACCUAUGUGAAUUUCUUUAUAAGACAUUUUUCUUUGGCUGAAGAAGGGCAGCAGGCCAUAAGUAAAGCCUGGGGUUUCAACAGAUAAAGACAUGGGAGAAGAAGGAUAAUGCUUGGCUUCCCAUCUGGCCACUUUGGGAUGGGGGCUCCUAGUGUUAUCCAGGAGCACAGCAAACAGGCUUUGGAGCCAAAGGAACCUGACUUCAAAUCCCAGCAACAUCUUUUCCUAGCUAUGUGGUUUUGGGCAAGCUUUUACCUUCUCUGAGCCUCAGUUUCAUCAUCUAAAAAGUGGGGAUGUCC
rnacentral:lncRNA from 10 species